CCAGAGACGGGGGCUGCGAAGUGAAGAGUUUUGUGUUGCAACCUCAAAAGCCCGGAGUUUUGCAAAGCGAAGAUGGCAAAUUCACCAUAAUGGUUAUUAAAACCGACAACAACCAUAAUAUGGUUACCCACUCUGAAAUAGGGGACUUGGUCCUUCUGCAGCUGUUUGCCAAAGGAAAGAAGAUGCAGGAUGGAUGGGAGGGCCAUUAUUCUGAUAUUCAAAAGGAACUGGGAUUCAGCCCGAAGAAGUUACACUAUCUACUUGAAUCUGAUCUCUGCACAACCCCGCCGAAGUAGGCUUAGGGUGAUGAUCGUGAACGCAGGGAUUGGGGGUGUUGG